AGAAGCCUGGCCCACAAAGUUUCAGAUUGGGUUUUCGGUGUUGCUGAGCCCGGAGAAGAAGGAGGAGAAACUGAGGCUCAGUGAUUAAAUGAUGUGCCACUCGACACAUGUCCCUUUAUUCCUUGACCCUUCGUGUUGAUGGAACUUUUAAGUUUUGUGGAACUCUUCAUCUAUUUUGAUUACAUACACAGUAUAUUGAGGACCUGUAAUUUUGUCAAUGGUGAGUACUACCUCCACCAAUCUAGUUCUCCACUCAUCUAUAACUGACUAAAUAGUGUUUAGUAGUUUCUGUAGCUAAAAAAAUUUACUAUUA